UAUCAGCGCGCUGCAGUUGUCUUGGUACACGGUUAGACAGAGUGGGAGGGGAUUGUAUGGGAAAAGGGCUCAUUGAUAAUGGUACAUACAAUUGCAGUACUGUCACAAAUGUUAGCAAAAGGCUGUUGAUCGGUAGACUACCACAUAUACCUGAUAUUCAGCAUUUAAAUAGUGAGUCGUGGAGAACACAGACAAAAGUGUUAAAAAAGUUAAAGUAACACGCGCGUUCUGUUACUUUACGUCAAACAACCAGAACACAGAACCCUGCAUCCCUUUCAUGUUGUAAACAACAAAACCACUUAGAAGUGUGAAGUGAGUGGCAGGCGAGCUUGGUCAUCGACUGUUCACACGGAUGUUAUUUAGACUUGAUUAUGUCAAACUCCACAAUGUCCAUUGACCAAACAGUUGGGGCACAUUUUAAGGAGCGUGAGGGAAAUUCCCGUCUGACCAAAAGACGACGAGACCCACCCAGGCCAGACCUUUACUGUGAGCUGCCCAGGAGGAGACCCAUCAUCCAUGAACAAUUGAGGGACGGCAACUGAUUUCGGAGUGUGACAUGAGUCCACAUGGAGUGAGCAUGGAGAGACAUCCCAUCCAUACUUGCCGGUGUACUGGUAGGAAAAUGGACAGUGGCGGCUCAGCCAGUUGAAGGAUUAAAGCAGAGGCGACGAGUGUAGAGAGAACCACCUUGCGUUCUCUUCUGGAAGAGGCCUCUGUCUGGGGCUGUGGAACUGGAGAAAAGACUGAGUGACAGGGGGAGAGUUGGGAAGGACAUAGAGGUGUUGAGGAAGGACAGCUUGGACCUACGCCACCUUACUACCAGCCAGGAGCAGAGACCGGAGCAGUGUCAAAGAUCACCACUGCAGAGCCAGGCUGAACUAGCAUCCCGAGAGGCCAUCCUCAGCCUGCUGUAUCUUAGGGUACGCAAAGUAUCUUUGUAUCCUGCAACACCACCCAGACAGAAUACCAGAUACAGAAACUACACACACAGCUGCAGGAGAGGACUGUACGCAUCAACCAGCUGGAGAGAGGGGAGAAGAGCAGCAGUCUCCGGCACUUUAAAACUACUCUGAACUUGAAUAAGAGGGACACCCAUAGGCGUUGGAGUCUCAGAGAGCUGGAUCGGAGUAACCUAAGGAGCUAGAGGAUCAAAUCUAAAUGGAGAGCAAGACGAGAGACAAACAAGACCAGGAGGCCUUAAGAGCUCUGAGUGCAGGCUUCAGAGUCUACCACCAAGGAACACUUACUUAACUCCUUGUGCGUUUUCUCAUCUCUCUCAGUCAACUCAAUUAUGCCACAAUAACAUGUGAUCUUUUCAUUUCUCAUCAUAAUUUCUAGUUAGAGUAGGCUUUUUUCCUUUUUUUCUGCCCUGUUGAAGGUGUGGUUUUUGGAGACGGAUGAGUUGAGUAGCUGUGUGCAGCAGAUACAGGGAGUGAAGGGACGCUAUGAGAGAGUGAGCUGGAGACA